rnacentral:rRNA from 1 species
GGAUUCCCCUAGUAACGGCGAGUGAAGCGGGAAAAGCUCAAAUUUAGAAAUCUGGCGGUCCACGGCCGUCCGAGUUGUAGCCUAGAGAGGUGUUUUCUGCGUCGGACCAUGCACAAGUCCCUUGGAACAGGGCGUCAUAGAGGGUGAGAAUCCCGUCCAUGGCAUGGACUCCCGGUGCUCUGUGAUGCGCCUUCGAAGAGUCGAGUUGUUUGGGAAUGCAGCUCAAAAUGGGUGGUAAAUUCCAUCUAAAGCUAAAUACAGGCGAGAGACCGAUAGCGAACAAGUACCGUGAGGGAAAGAUGAAAAGCACUUUGGAAAGAGAGUUAAACAGUACGUGAAAUUGUUGAAAGGGAAACGCUUGGAGUCAGUCGCGUUUGCCGGGACUCAGCCUUGCUUCUGCAUGGUGCACUUCCUGGUACACGGGCCAGCAUCGAUUUCUGACUCGCCGGAAAAAGGCUUGGGGAAGGUGGCACCUCCGGGUGUGUUAUAGCCCCUCUGUUGUAUACGGUGGUUGGGAUUGAGGACCGCAGCACGCCUUUUGGUCGGGGUUCGCCCACGCCACGUGCUUAGGAUGCUGGCGUAAUGGCUUUAAACGACCCGUCUUGAAACACGGACCAAGGAGUCUAACAUGCCUGCGAGUGUUUGGGUGUAAAACCCAGGCGCGUAAUGAAAGUGAAAGGUUGGGACUCUUCGCUGAGGCACCGACGCCCGAUCCUGAACGUUCUCCUGAUGGAUUUGAGGUAGAGCAUGUAUGUUGGGACCCGAAAGAUGGUGAACUAUGCCUGAAUAAGGGCGAAGCCAGA